rnacentral:rRNA from 1 species
GGUAUACUUCUUCGGGAGUAGAGACCGGCGCACGGGUGCGUAACGCGUAUGCAAUCUACCUUUUACAGAGGGAUAGCCCAGAGAAAUUUGGAUUAAUACCUCAUAGCAUAGCAACUUCGCAUGAAGUCACUAUUAAAGUCACAACGGUAAAAGAUGAGCAUGCGUCCCAUUAGCUAGUUGGUAAGGUAACGGCUUACCAAGGCUACGAUGGGUAGGGGUCCUGAGAGGGAGAUCCCCCACACUGGUACUGAGACACGGACCAGACUCCUACGGGAGGCAGCAGUGAGGAAUAUUGGACAAUGGGCGCAAGCCUGAUCCAGCCAUGCCGCGUGCAGGAUGACGGUCCUAUGGAUUGUAAACUGCUUUUAUACAGGAAGAAACCCUGGUUCGUGAACCAGCUUGACGGUACUGUAAGAAUAAGGAUCGGCUAACUCCGUGCCAGCAGCCGCGGUAAUACGGAGGAUCCAAGCGUUAUCCGGAAUCAUUGGGUUUAAAGGGUCCGUAGGCGGUUUAGUAAGUCAGUGGUGAAAGCCCAUCGCUCAACGGUGGAACGGCCAUUGAUACUGCUAAACUUGAAUUAUUAGGAAGUAACUAGAAUAUGUAGUGUAGCGGUGAAAUGCUUAGAGAUUACAUGGAAUACCAAUUGCGAAGGCAGGUUACUACUAAUAUAUUGACGCUGAUGGACGAAAGCGUGGGUAGCGAACAGGAUUAGAUACCCUGGUAGUCCACGCCGUAAACGAUGGAUACUAGCUGUUGGGAGCAAUCUCAGUGGCUAAGCGAAAGUGAUAAGUAUCCCACCUGGGGAGUACGUUCGCAAGAAUGAAACUCAAAGGAAUUGACGGGGGCCCGCACAAGCGGUGGAGCAUGUGGUUUAAUUCGAUGAUACGCGAGGAACCUUACCAAGGCUUAAAUGUAGUUUGWCCGAUUUGGAAACAGAUUUUUCGCAAGACAAAUUACAAGGUGCUGCAUGGUUGUCGUCAGCUCGUGCCGUGAGGUGUCAGGUUAAGUCCUAUAACGAGCGCAACCCCUGUUGUUAGUUGCCAGCGAGUCAUGUCGGGAACUCUAACAAGACUGCCAGUGCAAACUGUGAGGAAGGUGGGGAUGACGUCAAAUCAUCACGGCCCUUACGCCUUGGGCUACACACGUGCUACAAUGGCCGGKACAGAGAGCAGCCACUGGGCGACCAGGASCGAAUCUAUAAAACCGGUCCAGUUCGGAUCGGAGUCUGCAACUCGACUCCUGAACUGGAAUCGUNGUAAUCGGAUAUAGCAUGAUCCGUGAAUCGUUCC